rnacentral:rRNA from 1 species
GUGAGGAAUAUUGCGCAAUGGAGGCAACUCUGACGCAGCCAUGCCGCGUGCAGGAAGAAGGCGCUACGCGUUGUAAACUGCUUUUAACCGGGAAGAAACCCCAGGACGUGUCCUGGGUUGACGGUACCGGAGGAAUAAGCACCGGCUAACUUCGUGCCAGCAGCCGCGGUAAUACGAAGGGUGCAAGCGUUAUCCGGAUUCAUUGGGUUUAAAGGGUGCGUAGGCGGGGCCGUAAGUCAGUGGUGAAAUCCUGCAGCUUAACUGUAGAAUUGCCAUUGAUACUGCGGUUCUUGAGUACGCUUGAUGUGGGCGGAAUGUGCCGUGUAGCGGUGAAAUGCUUAGAUAUGGCACAGAACACCGAUCGCGAAGGCAGCUCACAAAGGCGAAACUGACGCUGAGGCACGAAAGCGUGGGGAUCGAACAGGAUUAGAUACCCGAGUAGUCC